AAUGAUCAGAUAUUCAUUGUAAAUUGUGAUAUAAAUAUAUGAAAAGCAAAUUAGCUUUAGAUUGUUACCAAAAAAAAAAAGACCUAUAUAGUUUCGAUGGAACCCGGCAACUGUUUUCAAAAUUAUUAGUCGUUCACCCAAAAGAGGUCCCAUGCUAAAUGGACCCUAUUUCUGCAUGACUUUACAUUAGGGAAAUUUGAUUUUCUAUGCUUAGAAAAUCAAAAAAUUUGAUUUCUAAACCAAUAAUUAAAACCCUAAAAAAACUAUACCUUUUUUUUCAAAACCCCAAAAAUACCCCCAAACUAAAACUAUCUCUCUUUCUCUCUCUAUCUAGCCGGUCCCAAUAAUCCCACACCCCAGGUCCGAUGGUCGGACCAUGGGGUCCGAUGGGGUCCGACCAAUCGGACCCAUCGGACCCCAAGGUCCGACCAUCGGACCUCUCUCUUCCCCUCUCUCUCAAAUCGCAGGAAAAAAAAAAAAAUUAAAGCCGGUCGGACCUUCUGGUCCGAUGGGUCCGACCAUCGGACCCUUUCUUCCUCUCUCUCCAAAAUCGCAGAAAAAAAAAAAAAAAAAAAAAAUUCAAAGGUCCGACCAUCGGACCUUUGUCUUCUUCCCUCUCUCAAAUCGCAGGAAAAAAAAAAAAAAAGUUUCAGAGAAAAUCGCAGGAAGUGGG